AUUGAACGCUGGCGGCAGGCCUAACACAUGCAAGUCGAACGAGUGGCGGACGGGUGAGUAAUGCUUGGGAAUCUAGCUGAUGGAGGGGGAUAAGUACGGGAAACUGUAGCUAAUACCGCGUACAAUAGACUGAGCCCACGUGGGAUUAGGUAGUUGGUGAGGUAAAGGCUCACCAAGCCGACGAUCUCUAGCUGGUCUGAGAGGAUGACCAGCCAACCUGGGACUGAGACACGGUCCAGACUCCUACGGGAGGCAGCCGUGGGGAAUAUUGCGCAAUGGGCGCAAGCCUGACGCAGCCAUGCGGCGUGAAUGAAGAAGGCCUUCGGGUUGUAAAGUUCUUUCAGUAGCGAGGCGUUAUCUACAGAAGAAGCACCGGCUAACUCCGUGCCAGCCGCCGCGGUAAUAC
rnacentral:rRNA from 1 species